rnacentral:rRNA from 1 species
GGUCCGAGUUGUAAUUUGUAGAGGAUGCUUCGGGCGUGGCGCGGGUCUAAGUUCCUUGGAACAGGACGUCAUAGAGGGUGAGAAUCCCGUAUGCGACCCAAUGCCUCCGUCCAUGUGAAGCUCCUUCGACGAGUCGAGUUGUUUGGGAAUGCAGCUCAAAAUGGGUGGUAAAUUUCAUCUAAAGCUAAAUAUUGGCCAGAGACCGAUAGCGCACAAGUAGAGUGAUCGAAAGAUGAAAAGCACUUUGGAAAGAGAGUUAAAAAGUACGUGAAAUUGUUGAAAGGGAAGCGCUUGCAACCAGACUUGCUCGCGGUUGCUCAGCCGGUGUUCUCACCGGUGCACUCUUCCGCGAUCAGGCCAGCAUCGGUUUGGGCGGCUGGAUAAAGGCCCCGGGAAUGUAGCUCCUCUCGGGGAGUGUUAUAGCCCGAGGUGCAAUGCAGCCUGCCCGGACCGAGGACCGCGCUUCGGCUAGGAUGCUGGCGUAAUGGUUGUAAGCGACCCGUCUUGAAACACGGACCAAGGAGUCUAACAUCUAUGCGAGUGUUUGGGUGUCAAACCCAUGCGCGUAAUGAAAGUGAACGGAGGUGGGAACCCUUAAGGGUGCACCAUCGACCGAUCCUGAUGUCUUCGGAUGGAUUUGAGUAAGAGCAUAGCUGUUGGGACCCGAAAGAUGGUGAACUAUGCCUGAAUAGGGUGAAGCCAGAGGAAACUCUG